AGGCUGCCUCGCCCACAUGGGCGCCCAGGUCUUGCUGGGCUCAAGGCCCGCACACAAAGGCCAGGUCCCCAGGGAGGCCCGGCCAAGAAGCAUGUGUGGUGCGGUUCUGAGGGGCCUCACCAACCACCCCGCAGCCCAGCCCUGGGGAGGGGCGCGUGAGAGACCCCGGGGAGGGGACCUCAGCUGAGGCCAGAUGUCCACCCCCAAGGUGGCUGAGCAGAGACUACGCCUGAUGUCAGGGUGAUCCCAGGCUCACAGUGCAGGGUGGGGACAACCGGUCCACCCAGACCCCUGACCUUCCUGGAAAACCAUCCGUCUCCGUGGGCCCCUGCAGAGACAGCCGUCCUCCGCGCUGCCAUGUGUUCCUGGAGCCUCUCCAAGACAAUCGCACCAGCUCCCUUGUGGGCCACAAAGGUCCUUUGACGGUGGCGGCCGGAGCUAAACCCACAGUUGGGGUGAGGAGGGGGAGGGAGGGCUCCACUGGGCCCGCCCCGUACUCUGCAGGCUGAGCGGGCUCCCUGGACACCCUGCCUGCCCGAGCCCAGCGGCUCAAGGCUCCUCCGGCUGACAACCCUGCUCUGAGGGCCUGCCGGCCCCGCUUGUUCUGGGCGAGGCCGUGGAGUUUGUCCUGAGGAGGGGUCUGGCCAGCCAGGGAUUGGACCACCUGUUGGGGGUUCUGUGGCCACAGGACCCUGGGCCCACCUGGCAAAUGGGAGGGUGUUUGCCAUGGGUAGUCUGUCCUUGCCAAGUGUCCCCCAUGUGGGGCUCAGGGAGGCUGGGGUUCUGGAGCCCACACCUGUACACAGUGUGGUGAGAGGAGGGCUCUUGGACCCAGCACGUCAGGGCAUGUGGCCAGGCAGCGUGUCUGGGGCUGCGGCCCUUCUGCCUCCUCCCUCGUCUCUUGGGAACCAAGAGGUCUGGCCCCCUUUGGCUCCCAAAGCCAACACUGAGCAUGGGGCACCCCCAGAUGCCCAGUGACCAGGGAGGCCUGGACACAGAUGGACAUCAGGGGACCUUUGCUUCUGGUCCAGCAGGGUGGACGGGCAGUGGUGGGUGUCACAGGACACGGAGGCCAGGCUGUGUGGGGGCUGGGGCUGACAGUGCUGCGCCACGGGCUGGCGACAGGAAGCGUCUGUACAGGGGAAGGUGUGGAGCAGGCACAGUGAGAUGGCCCAGUUGCUGCCCCGGGACGGGUGGAGGCCGCUGGGGAGGGUAGCAGCCGGCUCAGCCUGGGUCAGGCUCCUGGGUUCCCGGGCCUGAGGCUGGCAACCACGGCCGUCCACUCACUGGGCCCUCGCAGGUUGGCCAGAGGAGGCCUGCUUGGCUACAAACAGGAACGUCGCCCACGGGCCAGGCGGGAGCACCCGGCUGGGGAGAAGGCCCAGAGCAAGGCACAAUCCACCCUUUGUUCCCGCGGCCUGGAGCCUGCGGGCCAAGAGGAAAUGAGGGGAGCGCCAGCCAGCAGCCCUCACCCGCCCGGCAGUCCUCACCGCCAGGGCCGGGCAGACGCCAGGGCCCAGCCCAGCAGAGGGGCUGGAGAGUCUGCUCCAGGGAGGGGCAGGCUGCCCACCGCGUCCCCCUGGCCCAGCCAAGUCGGCAUCCACGAGGGGCGGCAGGUCCCCAUGGCACGGGCCUGGAUGCCCAUGCCCACUUCCUUACCUGCACCACCCCCCGUCCACCUUGGCAAGCCCCGGGCUGCUCAGGCGCCUGUUGGGGGCUGCGGCCUGGGCACAGGUCCUGGACAGCCCUGGGCAGCGCCUGCUCCAGUCUGAGGAUGGCCCCUGCCCCUGGCCUCCCACCCGCAGCCCCAGACAAGUGCCUGAGUCCUCCCCGGCUGAGGGUGGAUGGUGAGGGGCAGGGGUCUGGCUGGAUGGGGCUGGGCCAUGCCCCACCCUGCUCCUUACCAAUCCCCAGGGCCCCCAGACGUGACCAAAGGGGGCUGCCAUCCAUCCUGGCAGCAGCCAAGCUUGUCCCCUCAACAGCGGAGGAGGGGACGUUGGGCCUGAAGGGCCAACCAUCUGGCGGGUCCCACCUCAGAGUGCCAUCCCCUCUGCCAAGUCCCAUCCAGGGGCAGCCCAGGACCACCGCCAGGAGUGUGUGACCUGAGUGCGUGCGUGUACACAUGUGCGUGCAUGUGUACCCCUGUGUGUACGUGCACAUGUGCUCGCAUCGCGUGUGUACAUGUAUGUGUGCACGAGUGCAUGCAUGUGGGUGUGUGGGGCUGGAGACCCCUUCUGUCCCCUCCCUCACACCUUCCUUCACUCCACGCAGCCCUGUGGGAUCUGGGGCAGGAGCUGUGGGGCCGAGGACCCCUGGAGCCUCGUUCGUGAGUGCCCGGUGGGGUCUCCCUUGGAGGCCCGCACUGUGGGGCUGAGUGGCCACCUGGUACCCCACUUCGAGGUCCAUUUUAGCCUCAUCUGAGCCUGUGUUGAGGUUGAAAGAUGACCCCUGAAGUCCCUUUGUUGUGCCACCAUGCUUGGCCUCCCAGGAAGGGCCGACUGCCCCGGGGGCCCAGGUUGAUCCUCGCAGGCACAGAUCCCCACCACAGCCGGACACCUAGCAGGCUGGCCUCCCUGGGGCCUCUCCUGGUGCCGGUCUGGGACGCAGAGCCCUGGCCUAGGGCCUCACCUGGGGCACAGCAGCCUUCAGGCCACCAGGCAGGAGCACCCAGGGACAAACCCCACAGGGCCACGGCACCCAGCCUCGGAGCUCAGGUCUGGGUGCUGGACCUUCUGGGAUGGCCUGGAGUCUGAAGCCCACCCAGAAGUGGGAGGGUCCCGGGGGUCAGGAGGGCCUGUCCCGGGGUGGGGCAGUGGCUGUCACCACAUCCCCAAGGUCCAGGCUCAGCCAGGUGGACCCCGGCCGGCUGGCUCCCACACUGGGUCGCACAGGCCAGCAUGGGGUUUCUGGGUGCCUGCCCCAGGGAGGUCAGACUUGAGUCCACUGCCAUGGGGCCGGUCUCAGCCACCUAGCAGUGGGGACUGAGGGUCAGGGCCCGCUGUGCCCAGGGGCCCUGAACCAGAGUGAGUAUCCUCAGGGCAAGGAGAAGACUCUGAGGCCUGGGGACACGUAUGUGCACAUGCGUGUGUGUGUAACGACUGUGCUACUGUCACUCACCGGGGCACACAGACCACACAAAGAGUCCGCGGCCUUGGAUGGCACUGCCAGCUGCUGUGG
rnacentral:lncRNA from 1 species